rnacentral:rRNA from 1 species
UGGAUAAGACAUGCAAGUCGAGCGCUGAUUUGAAGGUAGCAAUAUUUUCAAGUCGGAGCGGCGCAAGGGUGCGUAACACGUGGGAAUCUGCCUUGAAGUGUGGGAUAACUCGUCGAAAGACGAGCUAAUACCGCAUGUGAUCGUAAGAUCAAAGUUGGGGAUCGUAAGACCUGACGCUUUAAGAUGAGCCCGCGGCCUAUCAGCUAGUUGGUGAGGUAAAAGCUCACCAAGGCUAAGACGGGUAGCUGGUCUGAGAGGACGACCAGUCACACUGGAACUGAGACACGGUCCAGACACCUACGGGUGGCAGCAGUCGAGAAUUUUUCUCAAUGGGCGAAAGCCUGAAGGAGCGACGCCGCGUGGGGGAUGAAUGGCUUCGGCCCGUAAACCCCUGUCAUUUGUGAACAAGUUGAUUCACCUAAUACGUGAAGCAUUGAUAGUAACAGAAGAGGAAGGGACGGCUAACUCUGUGCCAGCAGCCGCGGUAAUACAGAGGUCCCAAGCGUUGUUCGGAUUUACUGGGCGUAAAGGGUGCGCAGGCGGUUGGAUAAGUUUGAUGUGAAAUCUCCGGGCCUAACCCGGAAACUGCGUUGGAUACUGUCCAGCUAGAGGAAUGGAGGGGAGACUGGAAUACUUGGUGUAGCAGUG